rnacentral:rRNA from 1 species
UACGAAGGGUGCAAGCGUUACUCGGAAUUACUGGGCGUAAAGCGCACGUAGGCGGAUCGUUAAGUCGGGGGUGAAAUCCUGGAGCUCAACUCCAGAACUGCCUUCGAUACUGGCGCUCUUGAGUCCGGAAGAGGUGAGUGGAACUCCUAGUGUAGAGGUGGAAUUCGUAGAUAUUAGGAAGAACACCAGUGGCGAAGGCGGCUCACUGGUCCGGUACUGACGCUGAGGUGCGAAAAGCGUGGGGGAGCAAACAGGG